rnacentral:rRNA from 1 species
AUCCAUCAAGCUUGCUUGGUGGUGAGAGUGGCGAACGGGUGAGUAAUGCGUGACUAACCUGCCUUGUACUUUGGAAUAGCUCCUGGAAACGGGUGGUAAUGCCGAAUGUUCCACGUUAUCGCAUGAUGGUGUGGGAAAGGGUUUACUGGUAUGAGAUGGGGUCGCGUCCUAUCAGCUUGUUGGUGGGGUGAUGGCCUACCAAGGCUUCGACGGGUAGCCGGCCUGAGAGGGUGACCGGCCACAUUGGGACUGAGAUACGGCCCAGACUCCUACGGGAGGCAGCAGUGGGGAAUAUUGCACAAUGGGCGAAAGCCUGAUGCAGCGACGCCGCGUGCGGGAUGACGGCCUUCGGGUUGUAAACCGCUUUUAGCAAGGAGCAAGCGAGAGUGAGUGUACUUGUUGAAUAAGCGCCGGCUAACUACGUGCCAGCAGCCGCGGUAAUACGUAGGGCGCAAGCGUUAUCCGGAAUUAUUGGGCGUAAAGAGCUCGUAGGCGGUUUGUCGCGUCUGGUGUGAAAGUCCACUGCUUAACGGUGGAUUGGCGCCGGGUACGGGCAGGCUAGAGUGCAGUAGGGGAGACUGGAAUUCCCGGUGUAACGGUGGAAUGUGUAGAUAUCGGGAAGAACACCAAUGGCGAAGGCAGGUCUCUGGGCUGUUACUGACGCUGAGGAGCGAAAGCGUGGGGAGCGAACAGGAUUAGAUACCCUGGUAGUCCACGCUGUAAACGGUGGAUGCUGGAUGUGGGGCCCGUUCCGCGGGUUCUGUGUCGGAGCUAACGCGUUAAGCAUCCCGCCUGGGGAGUACGGCCGCAAGGUUAAAACUC